ensembl:snRNA U6 U6 spliceosomal RNA
GUGCUUGCUUUGGCAUCACAAUUUUAAAACUGGAGAAGAUUAGCAUGGCCCCUGGGCAAGGAUGACACGCAAAUUCAUGAAGCAUUCCAUAGUAUU